UUUCCAUCUUUCAGGGAAUUGGAUGUACGAAGAUUACCAAAGCAAGAAAUGAAGGGUCUUUUUAUGGCAAUGCAGAGUCAAGGUCUUACCUUGAAAAGAAGCUUGUAUUCUGCUUUGGGUCGCAUAUUGCAGCCCAACAGCUUCUACCUUUUGGAGAAGAAAAUUUUCUUUCUGCAUCAGAACUAAAGCAGGCUCAGGAGAUAGCCACAAGGAUGGUGAUUCAGUAUGGAUGGGGUCCUGAUGAUAGUCCUGCGGUCUACUAUAGUACUAAUGCGAUUACGGCUUUGAGCAUGGGAAACAAUCACGAGUUCGAGAUGGCUACUAAAGUUGAAAGGAUUUACGAUUUAGCAUACGAAAGGCAAGGGGUAUGCUUAAGAAAAAUCAUCGAGUUCUUGAAAAGAUUGUGGAAGAGUUGCUUGAGUUUGAAAUACUGACCGGAAAGGAUUUGGAAAGAAUAUUUAAUGAAAAUGGGGGUCUCCGAGAG